rnacentral:rRNA from 1 species
AUUGAACGCUGGCGGCAGGCCUAACACAUGCAAGUCGAGCGAGCGGCGGACGGGUGAGUAAUGGAUGGGGACUGCCCGAUAGAGGGGGAUAACUAAUGGAAACGGUAGCUAAUACCCCAUCCUAUCGGAUAACCCAUAUGGGAUUAGCUGGUCGGUGAGGUAAUGGCCCAACUAGCGGACCAUCCCUAGCUGGUCUUAGAGGCUGAUCAGCCAGACUGGGACUGAGACACGGCCCAGACUCCUACGGAGGCAGCAGUGGGGAAUAUUGCACAAUGGGGGAAAGCCUGAUGCAGCCAUGCCGCGUGUAUGAAGAAGGCCCUAGGGUUGUAAAGCACUUUCAGUCGGGAAGCGUUACCGACAGAAGAAGCACCGGCUAACUACGUGCCAGCAGCCGCGGUAAUAC